rnacentral:rRNA from 1 species
AAAGCGUGCGCAGGCGGUUUUGUAAGACUGUCGUGAAAUCCCCGGGCUCAACCUGGGAAUGGCGAUGGUGACUGCAAGGCUAGAGUUUGGCAGAGGGGGGUAGAAUUCCACGUGUAGCAGUGAAAUGCAUAGAUAUGUGGAGGAACACCGAUGGCGAAGGCAGCCCCCUGGGUCAAAACUGACGCUCAUGCACGAAAGCGUGGGGAGCAAACAGGAUUAGAUACCCGUGU